rnacentral:rRNA from 1 species
GACGCAUUCUGGCGGCGUGCUUAACACAUGCAAGUCGAACGGAAAGGCCCUGCUUUUGUGGGGUGCUCGAGUGGCGAACGGGUGAGUAACACGUGAGUAACCUGCCCUUGACUUUGGGAUAACUUCAGGAAACUGGGGCUAAUACCGGAUAGGAGCUCCUGCUGCAUGGUGGGGGUUGGAAAGUUUCGGCGGUUGGGGAUGGACUCGCGGCUUAUCAGCUUGUUGGUGGGGUAGUGGCUUACCAAGGCUUUGACGGGUAGCCGGCCUGAGAGGGUGACCGGCCACAUUGGGACUGAGAUACGGCCCAGACUCCUACGGGAGGCAGCAGUGGGGAAUAUUGCACAAUGGGCGGAAGCCUGAUGCAGCAACGCCGCGUGCGGGAUGACGGCCUUCGGGUUGUAAACCGCUUUCGCCUGUGACGAAGCGUGAGUGACGGUAAUGGGUAAAGAAGCACCGGCUAACUACGUGCCAGCAGCCGCGGUGAUACGUAGGGUGCGAGCGUUGUCCGGAUUUAUUGGGCGUAAAGGGCUCGUAGGUGGUUGAUCGCGUCGGAAGUGUAAUCUUGGGGCUUAACCCUGAGCGUGCUUUCGAUACGGGUUGACUUGAGGAAGGUAGGGGAGAAUGGAAUUCCUGGUGGAGCGGUGGAAUGCGCAGAUAUCAGGAGGAACACCAGUGGCGAAGGCGGUUCUCUGGGCCUUUCCUGACGCUGAGGAGCGAAAGCGUGGGGAGCGAACAGGCUUAGAUACCCUGGUAGUCCACGCUGUAAACGGUGGGUACUAGGUGUGGGGUCCAUUCCACGGGUUCCGUGCCGUAGCUAACGCUUUAAGUACCCCGCCUGGGGAGUACGGCCGCAAGGCUAAAACUCAAAGGAAUUGACGGGGCCCCGCACAAGCGGCGGAGCAUGCGGAUUAAUUCGAUGCAACGCGUAGAACCUUACCUGGGUUUGACAUGGAUCGGGAGUGCUCAGAGAUGGGUGUGCCUCUUUUGGGGUCGGUUCACAGGUGGUGCAUGGCUGUCGUCAGCUCGUGUCGUGAGAUGUUGGGUUAAGUCCCGCAACGAGCGCAACCCUUGUUCACUGUUGCCAGCACGUUAUGGUGGGGACUCAGUGGAGACCGCCGGGGUCAACUCGGAGGAAGGUGGGGAUGACGUCAAGUCAUCAUGCCCCUUAUGUCCAGGGCUUCACGCAUGCUACAAUGGCUGGUACAGAGAGUGGCGAGCCUGUGAGGGUGAGCGAAUCUCGGAAAGCCGGUCUCAGUUCGGAUUGGGGUCUGCAACUCGACCUCAUGAAGUCGGAGUCGCUGGUAAUCGCAGAUCAGCAACGCUGCGGUGAAUACGUUCCCGGGGCU